rnacentral:rRNA from 1 species
CUGGACUAGAAUGUGAGGGAAUGUCGGGUAAUGCCGGCAGUCCGGGAAACCGGACCCAAAACAAGGUGCUGCAUGGCUGUCGUCAGCUCGUGUCGUGAGAUGUUGGGUUAAGUCCCGCAACGAGCGCAACCCUUAUCAACAGUUGCCAUCAUUUAGUUGGGAACUCUGUUGAGACUGCCGUUGAUAAAACGGAGGAAGGUGGGGAUGAUGUCAAGUCAGCACGGCGCUUACAUCCAGGGCUACACACACGCUACAAUGGCCGGUACAAAGGGCAGCGAUGGGGCGACCCGGAGCAAAUCCCGCCAAAGCCGGUCUCAGUUCGGAUUGUAGGCUGAAACUCGCCUGCAUGAAGUCGGAGUUGCUAGUAACCGCAGGUCAGCACACUGCGGUGAAUACGUUCCC